UUAGCAGUAUAUACUAUUAUAAGUUUCUUUCGUGCAACCAACGAGGAGUUUACCGUAUCUUCCCACCAGCCGGAUCUAAAUUAAAGCUUGGUUGCUGCUGCGGGGUGUGAUCCACAUCUCCAAAGAGCAAACAACAAGUCGAUUGAUCUCCUUCAACCUUUCGCCAGGAAGAUUUAAGAUCAUCGUAUCAGUUAAGCCUGAUGGGGGAGAUGGACAGUACGUGUUUUAGACUACAUCAGCUUGAAGCCAUUACAAACAACUUCUCAAAGGAUCAAAAAGUAGGCAGCGGCGGGUAUGCAGAUGUUUACAAGAAUCCAAGGAGGAUAGCACGCACGACAAGAAGACAAGGAGCAGACCGAGGAGGGGUUGGGGGACGGUGGCCGGCGGCUCUGAAGCUUGAGGAAGAGAGAAAAUGGGAGAAAAGGGGCCAUGCGGUGGGGGCGCUACAACCAUGUGGUGACGGCCAGUGGUUCCAUUCAGCGGCGGCAGCCGUCAGCAGGACGAGCAAUCUAUUUUCCAUUAUUUUUUCCUUGUAUAUAUAUAUAUAUAAACAGCCGCUUUGGGUCGGGUAUGGAGUUAGUUUAGAAGCGGGCCAACACAGUUUCAGAUUAAUUAGCAUUUAAUUAGUGUAAAAGACAAUAUUGCCUUUUUAAAUUUUUUCGAGGGGUGUGUACUGAAGCAGAGACCAAAUAAUAAUAGCACCGAUCGCUAGCUCAGUCGCGCUAACAAGUUAUUUUAACAGGCGGUGCAUAAUGGGGAAGAGAUUGUUGUGAAGAAGUUUUAUCAUAUGCCUGGACUUGGUGAUGAGACGUUUCAAAAUGAAUUCCGUAAUCUUAACAAGCCUCGUCACAAAAAUAUCAUACGGUUAAUUGGCUACUGCUAUGAAAAGCAGUAUAGAUGCUUUGAACACCAUGGGGAUAUUGUUUUCGCGGAGAUAAGAGACCAACUUCUUUGCUUCGAGUAUAUGCAGUCUGGAAGCCUCGAUAAACAUAUUGGAGAUAAUUAUAUUAUGACCAACAGUUUGUGGUAUGUAUUACCACUAGUUUGAAUGACAACAAUGAAUACUUAUGAGGAGUGCACCCAUUUUUCUCCUUUGUCUUUUUUUUUCCUUGUAAUGGCAGAUGAAUCUUGUGUACUUGAUUCGCCCACAUGUUAUAAAAUCAUUCAAGGGACCUGCGACGGCUUAAAUCACCUUCACAGUGCGCAGCCAAAACCAAUUUUUCAUAUGGACUUAACGCCUUCUAAUAUAUUGCUCGAUAAGGACAUGACGCCCAAAAUUACAGAUUUUUCUUUGUCAACACUUGUUGCUUCAACAGAAGAAGAGUAUCAAUCAGACAGGAUGAUAGGAACACCGUAAGUUGACAUUUAUCAUGCAUAGUGUAAGUGGGCUGUGUGUUGAUGUAUUGUUUUUAAACCAAAUUUUAUUUGUAUUUGCACUAACCAUGUCAAUAUCUUAUGCUUAUGAUAUCAUGCAGCGGGUAAAUGCCACCGGAAUACAUAAACAAUCGUAUUAUAUCAAACAAGUUUGACGUGUUUAGUUUGGGCAUCAUAAUAUUAAGAAUGAUGGCCGGAAAUAAGGACAACUACCGUGCUCAUCCUGGAUUCUCUCGAAUACAAUUUAUCGAGCUGGUAAGGAAAAUUAUGUUUUCUCUAUAGCACGAACAUACAUGCAUGGAGAUACAUAGGACUUCUCCACAUCAUACGUCCAUACGUUUGCACACAAUCUAGGUGCACUAUCUUCCUAGGGAAGUUUAGUUUAUCCAUUUUCGCAUGCAGGUACGCCAAAACUGGAAGAGAAGGUUGCACGGAACGUUGGAGUACCCAUCACACGACAUAGACAUUCUACGAGUGUGUACAUGUGCUGAGAUAGCAGUAGGAUGUGUGAAUGUCGACCAAGAAAAGAGACCCUGCAUAGAGGAUAUUGUCGGUGAGCUGGAGGAGCUAGAAGCUAAAAUUAAGAGAAUAAUAUCACUGCCUCCUAAAGAGGCAAAAGACUUAAUUCUGCAGGUACGUAUACAUAGCAUAUAUAGUAACCUGUAGUAAUUAGUAGUAUUACCUUACUUUGUACUGUUCUUCAUCAUAUGCUAGUAUUACACUAGCUCAUGAUAAUAGCCAGAAGUAGAUGAACGUCCCUGCCUGCUAUUGGUCGCUUAGGGUACGGCUGACUGCCAGAGCCAUGUUUUUGGCAGUAGUGUGUCAUGGCUGCGUCAGCUAGCCCAUGCCCUCUCCUUCAAAAAAAAAUCUCAGGUCCUGAUGUAGUGAAUGACAGUUUCGUCUUUUUUUUCCUAUGAGCAGACUCGUUGUCUGGCAGUAUGGGGUCACACGAAUUUGUAGAAGUAAGAGAACUUAUUUGCCAUAAAAAAAAUUCUGGUUUCCCAUAAGCAAUUUGAGAACGAGGGUGAUCUUCUUAUGGCACUGAAGCACCCGAAUAUAGUGCGACUAGUGGGCUACUGCUAUGAAACGGAAAUUUCACUUAUGCCUUAUGAAGGAAAAUUCGUUUCAGCUGAAAAAACUGAACUUUUUCUUUGCUUGGAAUAUAUGCCUCGUGGAAGUCUUCACGAUUACAUUUCAGGUAUUACAUAUAGAUAUUCUCUUUGAACAAUUUCAGGUUUCUCUAUGUUUCAUGUCGAGUUAGGAUUUUGUGCUAUAUGGGGGCAGUGUUCCCCGUAACAUCUGGUCAUCGAUUCCUCAUCUGUGGUGAAAAUGAGAGAUCUAACAAAUGAACGUAUUAAAGGCCGUUUAUAUCUACGGAUGUACAAACCCCAGUACCAUCGUGUACGAGGGCUUGGUGCGUGGUAGGUUGGAUGGUGGCGGUUUGGGCUUAGUUUGGGUUGUUGGUGCACAGGCACAGGCACAGGCAUAUAUGCACACCAUGCAGCAAAUGCACCUUUACGCACACUCUAACACGCAUGCAACACAAGGGUACAUGCAGAUACACACUCCAUAUCUUUCUGCUCUUCUGUCCAACUACCUGACCCGGCCGGCGCUCAUUUACCCUGCCGAAAAUGUCUAGGCCUGGCCGCACAUCACACGAGCUUCGGCACAUGAUCGAGCUUGACAUACACAAGGCACGCAUGGGCUCGCAAUCUAGAGAACCUAAACGACCCUGACUAGGAGACCAUCGAACCCAGCCUACACUAGAACAGUAGUGCCGCACAGGGGAAGAUAGCAAGGAAACAUCCACUAUGGGUACAUCCAAAACAAACUAUUAACACGGCAGCUGCUACUGGAACAUUGUAAGUGAAGAACAUUCUUCUUAUUUACCACAUUUUAGUAAUUGACAGAAUAUGUUCUCUCUACUUUUCUCUUAUAACAGCUCAUUUUUCUGCUACAGAGGUUACAUGUCACUAGAAUACCAGCUACGAGGUACAAUCACACCAAUGGCCGACAUAUUCAGUUUGGGUGUGAUAAUCAUGGAGGUAAUAACAGGGCACAGGGACUACCCAUAUGAUAUUAGAAGGUCUUCGAAGGACUUCAUCAAAGAAGUAAG